AGCGUGCGCGAGUCCAGCCACGGGGGCGGAGUGAGCGAUCACGGGAGCGUGCACGAGCGGGGCGGGGUGGGUCUGGUGCAGAGACUGGGAGGACACGGAGUGGCUGGCGGCGUGCGCGAUGGGGGCAGCGUAGGCAGCGUGCGCGACGGCGUACGCGGCGUGCGCGAUGGGCGCGGCGUAAGCGGCGUGCGCGACGGGCGCGGCGUAGGCGGCGUGCGCGAGCGCGGGGGCGGCAUAUACUCCGGCGUGACCGGCCAGCUGCUUAGCGAGGAUGGGCGCG